rnacentral:rRNA from 1 species
UACGUAGGGUGCGAGCGUUAAUCGGAAUUACUGGGCGUAAAGCGUGCGCAGGCGGUUUUGUAAGCCGGAUGUGAAAUCCCCGGGCUUAACCUGGGAAUGGCAUUUGGGACUGCAAGGCUUGAGUGCGGCAGAGGAGACUGGAAUUCCCGGUGUAGCAGUGAAAUGCGUAGAUAUCGGGAGGAAUACCGAUGGCGAAGGCAGGUCUCUGGGCUGACACUGACGCUCAUGCACGAAAGCGUGGGAGCAAACAGG